UACGAAGGGUGCGAGCGUUAUUCGGAAUCACUGGGCGUAAAGAGUGCGUAGACGGUGUGUUAAGUUUGUUGUUAAAGACUCUAGCCUAACUGGAGGGUUGCAAUGAAAACUGGCAUGCUAGAGGGUGAGAGAGAGAAGUGGAAUUCCCGGAGUAGCGGUAAAAUGCGUGGAUCUCGGGAGGAACACCAAUGGCGAAGGCAGCUUCUUGGCUCAUUCCUGACGUUGAGGCACGAAAGCGUGGGGAGCAAACAGG
rnacentral:rRNA from 1 species